GAUGAACGCUAGCGGUAGGCCUAACACAUGCAAGCCGAGCGGUAUUGCUUCUUCGGCUAUGAGUGAGCGGCGUACGGUUGCGUAACACGUGUGCAACCUUCCUUUAUCUGGUGGUUAUCCUUUCUAACGUAAGAUUAAUUCUCCAUAAUAUAUUUACCGGCUUCGUUUAAUAUUGAAAGCUCUUCCGGCUAUAGAUGGUCACGCGCAAGAUUAGCUAGUUGGUUAGGUAACGGCUAACCAAGGCGAUGAUGCUUAGGUGAGAGGCUGGGGUGAUCCCCCAGAAUGGUACUGAGACACGGACUAGAAUCGGACGGGAGGGAGGAGUGAGGAAGAUUGGUCAAUGGAGGCAAACCUGAACCAGCCGUGCCGCGGGAAGGAGGAUUGCGGUAGGGGUUGUAAACUGCUUUUGUAGAAGGAUAAACCGACCAUCGUGAGGGUAGCUGAAGGUACUAUACGAAUAAGCACCGGCUAACUCCGUG
rnacentral:rRNA from 1 species